GAUGAACGCUGGCGGCGUGCCUAAUACAUGCAAGUCGAGCGAACAGACGAGGAGCUUGCUCCGCUGACGUGAGCGGCGGACGGGAGAGUAACACGUGUAUAACCUACCUAUAAGACUGGGAUAACUUCGGGAAACCGGAGCUAAUACCGUAUAAUAUAUUGAACCGCGUGGUGGAAUAGUGAAAGACGGUUGUGCGGUCUCGUAUAGAUGGAUCCGGGCCGCAUUAGCUAGUUGGUAAGUUAACAGCUUAUCAAGGCAACGAUGCGUAGGCGACGGGUGAGAGUGAUCGGCCACAUGGGAGCUGGGCCACGCUCCAGACUACUGAGGGAGGGCGCAGACGGGAAUGUGACGCAGUGGGCGAAAACAUGGCAGAGCAGCGGGGAGUGAGUGAUGACGGCCUUGGGAUCGUAAAGCUCUGUUAUGAGGGAAGAACAACUGUGUACGUAAAUAUGCACGUCUUGACGGUAACUAAUAAGAAAGCCACGGCUAACUACGUG
rnacentral:rRNA from 1 species